UUAAGGAAUUUAGAAAUAGCUUAAUUCGUUCCACUGCAUCGCAGUAAUGGGAUUAUAGAACGAACUAACACAGUAAGAUCAAUAGUUUAUGAGAACGAGCUCAACGUCAUUUUGGCUUGUCAUUUAUUUAAAAGAUUCAGGUGUACAAAUUUCACAAGUUCAUAUUUCUUAGAAAAUUCUUUUUUAGGUUAACAAAAGUGCAUCAAAUUUCAGCCCCCAGGAUAUCAGGAAGCUUACCACCAGGGAAUCCCCCAUCCAAGGUUUGCAUGACAUUUCAAACAUGAAGGAGUCAGUGCCGUACAACACCAUGCAUUUAGCACUGCAAUGUUUGAAAACAAUAUAGCUGCGAGAAGAUAGAAGGUUCUCUUAACAAGUUCCAUUUUUCGAUAGAUGAUUUCUGAUUUAAAGUUUCUUUAGAAAAAACUAGAAAAAAGCCACCUUUUAUACAGAAUCUGUUAAAUACGUUGACUAAUUCAAUUUGGCUCGGAUUUAAAAAUGUUAUAAUAACACAAUUUGUUUCACUAAGCCAAAAAAUUAUUUAAGAAACAAAUACCGACAGAACGGUUAUAAUUAUACCCAGAAAAUAAGACCCAACUAAGAUUUUAUUUAGUAAAAUCCAAAACCUAUUAGAUAUCUGAAAGUAAAAAAAAAAUAGUUGGUAAAAGAAAAAAAUUACCCCAACGUUGGGUAAAGGUUAUUCCAAACUAUUAAAACUAUUUAAGGAUCUGAAGUGCUGUGUUAAGGGAGCAGCAAGUGAACUACUGUGAAAUGGAGAACCGAGACAGCAACCGAGACUGACCCUUGGAGGAGCUCCUUCUGUUUCCCAGGCCACUCCCACACACUUAAGGCUGGGUGGAGGAGAGCGUUAUUAUUCCUCUUGGAAAGCCGUCUUGGCCAUGUGUUAGUAACAGAGAGUGUAUCCUUGAAAAGGACUCAUUACUCUCAAGCAAGAAUCAGAAAAUAAAGAAGUCCCUUUAAAUCGCAAAUCGAGCCGAACGGCGUAUGGAAUGCAUGCAGCCACCAUUAUGCAUUAAUAUGCAAGGCACGCAGCACGUCAUUAGUAGAGGGUGGUGACAGGACAGGAUCAGUGUGGGAGUGUGGGCGUGGUGAGUCAACAUAAUGAAUUAUGCCACGCCUAACGAUGCCGCCGCACAGCAGCCAGCGUGGCCCGGCACAGAAAAAUCCAAUAAAAAUUAAAUAAAUUCCCCACAAUUCCACGGCCACAGUUGCGGUCAACUAAUAGUAGACACUGUGAAAGUAACUAUUAUGUUGGAAAAAUAAGUAUUUAAGAGAGUUUUUAGACUGAAAUUGUGAAUUUUAGAUGUCAACAAACUUUAUAAAUAUUGUUCCUUGUUUUAGAGUAUUUUAAAAUAAAAGUUUCUGUGAGUUUGUAGCAUUUUUCAAUUAAA